GCAGAUUGUAGAGCAAAGGCCCAUAAUAGAGGAGUUCAAGAAUCAAUGGCCUGCUCUUUUUCAGCAGAGUGAAGUGAAUGCUGAGUUUAUGCGGAUCACUACUAAGCCACUGCAAUCAACAUUCCUAUCAGAGCUGGACCGCUUUUCAGACAAACUGAUGCAGAUCUUACAGAGCAGAGGAGGAGUUAAAGGGCAGAAGAUCAAAAAUGCCAUGAUGAUCACAGACUCUUGUGACAACAUUAACAUCAAGAGAGAGUGCAUCCUGAAAGUCCUUAUUCUCUACCUCAAUGAAGAUCCAGACUCUUUCUUUAAGGAUUAUGUG